UAAAGUACAAGACAACCUAAAAAAUAGAGUUAAAAUAUAAAAAAAAUCUCCUUAAGCAGCUCCUGAAUGCAGUGGUCCUAACUGGAUGAUCCCGGAGCGUCUGUCAUGCUCAAGCUCUAGUAUGUAGAUCCACACCUGUAUGAGAAAAACAGGACCAAAUAGAGUUAAAGACUUAGAACACUAUGUGAGACAAUAACACUUCCUAUUGGACACAUUCAAGACAUGGUUGAGGCGAUUUUUGCAAAAUGGCCUACGUGGCCAAAAGGUGACUAGAAGUGCAAACUCAACAAAAGUGACCUCUAAGACAAGGAAAAAUUACUUUGCAGAAAUAACCUAUUUUGUAGAAAUAGUCUAUAUGGCCAAAAAAUGGCUAAGCAUGCAAAUUCAACCGAAUGGACCUUAAACAGAGAUGACACCUUGUUAUGGACUUAGGACUCUAAGACAUGGGUCACUGAACCACUUUUGCAAAAAUAACCCUAUUUUGCAAGAACGACCGAUGUGGCCAAAAGCGGUUAGACAUGCAAAUUUGACAAGGAUGGGCCUUAAAGUAAAGAGACACCUAAUUGUAGAUUCAAGACUCUCCAGACACAAUUAAACAAGCCACUUUGCGAAAAUAGUCCUAUUUUGCAAAAUGACUGAUGUGGCCAAAAGUGGCUAGACAUGCAAGAUUUGGCUACGACCCUCGAAGCCAAGAACUUAAGACUCACUAGGAAGACCAGACCCUAUGUGGGUUGCCUAUGUAUCCCGCCCUGAAAGACGAGAAUCAGGUUUGCGUAGUUCGGGAAAAGUGGAUACGAGCGAAAAUUAAAAAAAUAUUCUUUUUUUUAAAAUGAUGGGAAAGUGCAAAAUCUUUUUGAUUUUUUUUGAUUUUUAUAUAUUUUUGGGUCAUUUUCUUGAAAAAAAAAAUUGUGAAAGAAAAAUAUAACUAGGAACUACUGGCUUCAUUUUUUAAACUUCACCAUCUUUUCUUUCUCAUUUACCCUCAACCAUCAUUGGUCCGCCAACGAUUUUCACCUAUAAAGAAUGCAACGUGUAGCAUAUAAGAUGCAUCAGGAUGGUCUUUUAUUUUUGGGUACUCCUGUCCUAGACGGACUCAACCCCUGUUUUGAGUCCCCAAAGUCAAUUGCACAUGAUGCAGACAAACGUGCCUACUAGGGAUUCAGCAUAAGGUUAUGUCAUUCUAGGUUUAAACUUGGGGGUGUAUUCUAGACAUAGCUUACCCAAGCGGACAGCUCGAGCCGAGGUGGGGGCCACUUACCGGGAGCACGAAAGUCUACCCGGCCUAGUUGCUGAUCCAGCGUCGUUCUAUUUGGUACGACCUCUAAUAGAAAAGUGGACCAUGCGUACACGUGCACCAUAUUUUUAGAAGACUCAAAAGUGAGGCAUUAGUUUAAUACUGUUCAAAUAAUAUAAAAGCGGUAAAUAAACGGUAAUUAGCACAUUAGGUCCACAAAUAUAGUAAUGUCAAUAAACAAUAAAGCCAAGUAUAGAUCACAUUAACAAACUCGAAUUUUGAACCAUGAACUAGAGAUUCUGGGUUCUUUUUCCAGCAGAGUCGCCAGAGCUGUCACACCUCCUUUUUCCUGAAGGGGAUAGUGAUUUUUUCCAAUUAAAGUGACACAAUCGAAAAGGGAUUAUUUAUGUUAUUCAGAGUCGUCACUUGGGAUAAUUAUAUGGUGUCCCAAGUCAUCAAUUUAUUUUAAAUCCUGAAUCGAGGAAAAUUGAAUCUGUUUUAAGUCAACGAAACCAGAAGACCGGGUAAGGAAUUAUGUUAACUCGAGAGAAGGUGCUAGGCAUUCCAAGAUUUUGUGGUUUUAGCACAGUCGCUUUAAUCGUAUCUGGAUUAGUCAAUUUGUUUAAUUACGUGUUUUAGAACCUAUGUGCGUUUUACAUUACCGCUUUUAAUUGCUUGAUUAUUCGUAAUUAUGGAAUUAUCUUAAAACAAGUCACGCAUACGUGUACUCAUUUCAUUUGCCAUGUCAAGAAUCAUGUCACGCAUACAUGUACACAAUUAAUCAUGCUUUAUUAAUUAUCAAGAAUGUUUGGCCGAAGUUGCGCGAAUGCAUACCUCGAUUUAUUUUGAAAACCGUAAUUAUGUCGCGCGAACGUGUACACAAUCUCUAUGAUAGAUUAAGUCGUGCCUAAAGUAUUUUCUAUGAAUAUUUAUUUUUAAAUUGUACUCGUGUCACCCAAACCAGUGUUAACGAGAAGUUGGAGGUUUGGAGACAAGCUCUUGAAUCUAAGGGUUUCAAGCUUAGCAGGACAAAGACAGAAUACCUGGAGUGUAAGUUCAACGCUGAGCAGAGGGAAGUGGGUGUGGAUGUGAGGCUUGAAUCGCAGGUCAUCCAAAGUAGAGACAGCUUCAAGUACCUUGGGUCGGUUAUCCGGGGGAGGGGGGGAGAUCGACGAGGAUGUUACGCACCGUAUCGGGGUAGGAUGGAUGAAGUGGAGGUUAGCAUCUGGAGUAUUGUAUGACAAAAGAGUGCCACUGACACUCAAAGGUAAGUUCUAUAAAGCGGUGGUUAGGCCGGCCAUGAUGUAUGGGGCUGAGUGUUGGCCGGUUAAGAAAUCACAUAUCCAGAAGAUGAAGGUAGCAGAAAUGAGGAUGUUGAGGUAGAUGUGCGGGCAUAGUAGGAUGGAUAAGAUUAGGAAUGAUGAUAUUCGAGAGAAGGUGUGCAUGGUUUCCAUUAAUGACAAGAUGCGGAAAACAAGGCUCAGGUGGGUCGGGCACAUUCAGAGGAGAAGCCCAGAUGCUCCGGUAAGGAGGUGUGAACGGCUAGGUUGUGGAGGGCUCAAGAAGAGGUAGAGGGCGGCCUAAGAAAUAUUGGGGGGAGGUGAUUAGGCAGGAUAUGUCGAUGCUUCAGAUUUCCGAGGACAUGACACUUGAUAGGAAUAUGUGUAGGUCGAGUAUUAAGGUUGUAGGCUAGGAGGUAGCUGAUUAUUGUCUUAUGUCAUAACUUUGGGGGACUAGUUUGGUAAGGAUACUAUUUUCCUUUUGCUUGGUAUCAUGCCUCUUGAUUUCAUGUUGUUCUUAUUUUUCCAUAUAUAUAUAUAUAUAUAUAUAUAUAUAUGUAUGUAUUCUUUCAUUAUUGUUCUUAUGUAUGUUAGCUUAAUUAAUUGUUUCCUUUUGUUCUUUUGUUCUUUUGUCUUAUUGAGCCGAGGGUCUUUCGGAAACAGCUUCUCUACUUCUCCGGGGUAGGGGUAAGGUCUGCGUACACACUACCCUCCCCAGACCCCACUAGUGGGAUUACACUGGGUUGUUGUUGCUGUUGUCGUGUCACCCGAACGUGUACACAAUUAAUAACAUUUUAUUAUUAUCAAGAUUGUUUCGUCAAAAGUUGCGUGAACGCAUACCUUGGUUUUAACUUUGAAAAUCGUAAUUAUGUUACGCGAACGUAUACAUAAUCACGAUAAUCUGAUUAAUUAAGAGAGUGUCUGAAGCUACUAACAUAAAGCAAAGUAAAGAAAAUAACAUAAACUAUCCAAAGCUUGAAUCACUUAAUUUUGGAGCUUUCUGCCACAAACAACUUGUCUUAAGGAACUAAAACCUUUUUUUUAAAAUCCAAACACUGUCAUGGCUUAGUUUACACACUCGACAAGUAUUAGCCCAAAAAGAAGAGUUAACCAAACAAACCACGGGCACUCAUGUUUCUAGAAAUUGAUUAACGUGUCAAAUGAAAACUCAACAAAGUGAAUCAAAUCAAAAAAAAAAUUAAACAAACAAUGAAGCAGUAGAACAAUUAUAAAUUAUUCAAAAUCAUCAAAGAUUGAUAACAGGAACACAGAGAGUACAUUUAGAAAUCAUAGUAAGAAAUGGACCUUCACGGGUAGAAAAUCAUCUUCAAUGUAUUAACAAAGAGAAAUCCAAACCAAACUUUGUACAAUAGCAAUGAUUGUUUAGUUAGGAAAACUGAAAUUCGACAACAACAUCGGAAUCGAAAGCGCGAAUAGGACCUCGGCCAGAAACCUUCUAACUCAAACGGAUUUUCAGAACUUCGAUUACGCUUGAACAGUGGUAGAAAUGAACUAUUUGUGAUGGCUUGCGGCUAUCAGAUCUCUUUCCUCUCUACUGUUCGCAUGUGUGUGUAUUUGGGUGUUCUUGCGUGUGUGUUCUAUCCAAAAGCAAAGAUCAGAAAUUCCCUUCCCCUAUUUUGUCGUUCCCCUCUAUUCUCUCGUUCUCUAUUUCUUUCAUUUCCCUUCCCCAUUCCCCUAGUCAGUUUUUCUAUUUUUGUUUUGGUUCAGGCGAGGUCGAAGACGGCUGGUGGCUGACGAUUUUGAAAAUAGGGUGGCCGAGGUAUCGAUUUGGUAGGGUGUGCGCCUGAUGGUGAGAGAGUGAGGGAUGAGGGGCUAGUUUGUUGCGGCAAAUUUUAGAGAGGAUAGGACGGUUGCUUCUUUUUUUGGAGGGGUAGGUCUUUUUUUAGGGUUCCUGAAAUUGGGGGGGGGGGGGGGGUUUAUGAUCAAGAGAAGAAAUAUCGGUCAUUGGAUAAAGUAUUUGGAUGGCUAUGAG
rnacentral:lncRNA from 1 species